rnacentral:rRNA from 1 species
AUUGAACGCUGGCGGCAGGCCUAACACAUGCAAGUCGAACGAGUGGCGGACGGGUGAGUAAUGUCUGGGAAACUGCCUGAUGGAGGGGGAUAACUACUGGAAACGGUAGCUACUACCGCAUACCAUCGGAUGUGCCCACAUGGGAUUAGCUAGUAGGUGGGGUAAAGGCUCACCUAGGCGACGAUCCCUAGCUGGUCUGAGAGGAUGACCAGCCACACUGGCAAUGAGACACGGGCCAGAGUCCUACGGGAGGCAGCAGUGGGGAAUAUUGCACAAGGGACGCAAGCCUGAUGCAGCCAUGCCGCGUGUAUGAAGAAGGCCUUCGGGUUGUAAAGUACUUUCAGCGGGGAGGCGGUAUCUGAAGAGUAAGCACCGGCUAACUACGUGCCAGCAGCCGCGGUAAUAC